rnacentral:tRNA from 3 species
GCCCUGGUGGUGAAAUUGGUAGACACAAGGGAUUUAAAAUCCCUCGCUGGUAACAGCGUGCCGGUUCAAGUCCGGCCCGGGGCACCA